UCCUCGAUGGUCUAACGGUCAUGAUUUCCGCUUGUCACUCCAAGAGAACGAGCGCGGGAGACCAGGGUUCGACUCCCUGUCGGGGAG
rnacentral:tRNA from 4 species